rnacentral:RNase_P_RNA from 1 species
CGAGUCGGUCGGACGACCGCGGCUGAUCCCCUGGGAACGGUCGAGGAAAGUCCGGACUCCAUAGGGCAGGACGGUGGGUAACACCCACCCGGGGUGACCCGCGGGCACGUGCAACAGAAAGUAGACCGCCAGCCUCGGC